GGACUACUGGGGUUUCUAAUCCUGUUCGCUCCCCACGCUUUCGCUCCUCAGUGUCAGGUAAGGCCCAGAGAACCGCCUUCGCCACCGGUGUUCCUCCCGAUAUCUGCGCAUUUCACCGCUACACCGGGAAUUCCAUUCUCCCCUACCUACCUCUAGUCUGCCCGUAUCCACUGCAAGCUCAGGGUUAAGCCCUGAGAUUUCACAGCAGACGUGACAGACCACCUACGAGCUCUUUACGCCCAAUGAUUCCGGACAACGCUUGCGCCCUACGUGUUACCGCGGCUGCUGGCAC
rnacentral:rRNA from 1 species